GGUGGUUCUUGGAUGAUGUACCUCAGAAUCAGGCUCCCUCCUCUCUGGUUACCGGUGCAUCACCCAAGAACUGCA
rfam:Myotis brandtii contig280285, whole genome shotgun sequence.